CGCGCGUUGGGGACAGGAAGGGAAGCAGCCAUGGGGCUGGAUUUCCAUCGCUCUGCUCUGCAAAACCCCUUCGCUCUGCCCCCGCCUGCGUGGGGCUUUCUUGGCUGGGUCUGCUCCUGACAGAAGGGAUGCGUGUUGUUGGGGGGGAGUUGGGGGGGGCUUGGCAUGUGUGUGUGAGAGUAUGUGUGUGUGUGUGUGUUUAAAAUACAAAAAAAGAGAGAGAGAGAGAAAGAAAGGAAGAGGAAGAAGAAGCAUGGCUCUCCUCAGCUGCAGAGGCGGGCCGGGCUCCAUCCGUGCCAACUCCCCUCCAAGCGGGCACCGCAGGGACGCAGGAGGAACAAGAAGGCUGCAGAAGUGAGGGAUGGGUGUGAAGAAAGAUGGACGCUUGCCAUGGCAUGUGCCAGUGGCUGCAUGGGGCCAAACCUCACACACAAAACCCACGGCAGAUCGCUGGCAGCCCAUGUCGGGAGGCGGCAGACAGUUGGCAAUGCUGCCACAGAGGACAGGCUGGGAGCAGGCGGAUGGAGGCACGGCCGGCACAGCGCAGGUACCAGAAAGUUCAGAACACAACACCAACCAUGAGUACAAUAACGCACAUGCUCCCCACCAUCGACCUAUUUCUACUGUUCUGUUGUUUAGUCAUAUUUCUCACACCUGUUUUGGAGACAGAUGGGUACAUGAUAUAAAUAAAAUUUCCGAAGGAA